CCUACGGGAGGCAGCAGUGGGGAAUAUUGGACAAUGGGCGCAAGACUGACCCAGCAACGCCGCGUGAAGGAAGAAGGCUUUCGGGUUUUAAACUUCUUUUUAGAGGGAAGAGCAGAAGACGGUACCUCUUGAAUAAGCCACGGCUAACUACGUGCCAGCAGCCGCGGUAAUACGUAGGUGGCAAGUGUUGUCCGGAUUUACUGGGUGUAAAGGGCGUGCAGCCGGGAAGACAAGUCAGAUGUGAAAUCCCGCGGCUCAACCGCGGAACUGCAUUUGAAACUGGUUUUCUUGAGUACCGGAGAGGUCAUCGGAAUUCCUUGUGUAGCGGUGAAAUGCGUAGAUAUAAGGAAGAACACCAGUGGCGAAGGCGGAUGACGGGACGGCAACUGACGGUGAGGCGCGAAGGCGUGGGGAGCAAACAGGAUUAGAUACCCUUGUAGUC
rnacentral:rRNA from 1 species